rnacentral:misc_RNA from 1 species
AAAACUAAGUGUAUAUGUAUACAUUACUUAUUAAAAUACUGGCAUGUCUGGCCCAGCUGAUCUGCAUAUCCAGUCCAGUUCUUACAAAAUAGGGAAAUCUUGUAUACCUAUUAUAUACCAUACCUAAGUAUAUGCAUGUGAGCUGCAGAGUAGCCGCAGCAGCAGCAGCAAUACCUACAGCAGUAGUACAGAAGAUUUGUGUGUGAAUCGUGAAUGUCCGAAUUCUCGCUGCCGCUGUCCGGUUCGCGGGAACCGUGUUGUUUCAACAUUUAUACGGCUGAUUAUAAAAAUGGUAGAUGAGGCGACUGACAGCGAAGAUCACAAGAAGAAAUUCGCCAUCAUCCGUGAAGUGUACAAUGACGAAAAUGCGCACGACCACUUUGAAUACGAGCUUGAAAAAGCCCUGGAUUUGGAAUGCCAGUUGAUAGUCAUAGAACCAACUAAGUUGGGAGAUGAAACAGCUCGAUGGAUCGCAGUUGGAAACUGUCUUCACAAAACUGCAGCCUUGUCCGGUCUAGCAGCUAUUGUUACAGGACUAAUGUGUGACGACAAGCCAUACUUGUGGGCUUCUUUUGGUCUCACAGCUGCAGUAUCUUGUGGUUUAUACACUGUUUCUUGGCAGUUCGACCCAUGCUGCAAGUACCAAGUAGAAACAGACACAAGCAAGCUGCCGAAUGCAGAAGUUCUAGCUGUUUUGGGACCUUCAUCGCCCACUUUUCUUGUCAGAAAAGAUGACAGCAGAAGGAAGAUUUUGCACAGUACAGUUACAGCAUUAGCACUUAGCAUCUGUGCUUGGAGAUUGUAUCAAGUCUUCAAAUGAAAAAAUUCCUCUCUAGAAAUAUGUCACAAAAUUGAAAGGCUUUAAGGUAGGCCACAGUGGAGAAUUAUAUGUGAUCAUAGACCAAUGUAGACUACAAGUAUAAGAAUUAGGGAAAUAGCAACUUACAAAAAAACAAACAAACAAAAAUUCUAAUACAUCGAAAACCUCCCAAUAAAUAACACGAUUUCAAGUUGAUGUGAAUGGUGUACAUGUAUGUAAUGUCAUCCACAGCUAACCUGGCGAAAAUCAAGUCAUUCAAAAAUAAUGUAUUUUUAAAACUGUACAGAAACACCGCGUAGAUACACUGUAUGCAGCAGCAUGAGUUAUGAAAGGAAUAAUAUUGCUCAAAUUCUUCCGCCUGUUAAUUUAUAGUUUUAUUAUGAAAUGUUAGAGAAAUAACACUAAUUUGAAGUUGAGCUUAAAAUUUAUUCGUUAUGUAAUAAAUAUAGCUAUUGAUUUAUAUCGA